rnacentral:rRNA from 1 species
GACGAACGCUGGCGGCGUGCUUAACACAUGCAAGUCGAACGGAAAGGCCCUGCUUUUGUGGGGUGCUCGAGUGGCGAACGGGUGAGUAGCACGUGAGUAACCUGCCCUUGACUUUGGGAUAACUUCAGGAAACUGGGGCUAAUACCGGAUAGGAGCUCCUGCUGCAUGGUGGGGGUUGGAAAGUUUCGGCGGUUGGGGAUGGACUCGCGGCUUAUCAGCUUGUUGGUGGGGUAGUGGCUUACCAAGGCUUUGACGGGUAGCCGGCCUGAGAGGGUGACCGGCCACAUUGGGACUGAGAUACGGCCCAGACUCCUACGGGAGGCAGCAGUGGGGAAUAUUGCACAAUGGACGGAAGCCUGAUGCAGCAACGCCGCGUGCGGGAUGACGGCCUUCGGGUUGUAAACCGCUUUCGCCUGUGACGAAGCGUGAGUGACGGUAAUGGGUAAAGAAGCACCGGCUAACUACGUG